GACGAACGCUGGCGGCGUGCUUAACACAUGCAAGUCGAACGGAAAGGCCCUGCUUUUGUGGGGUGCUCGAGUGGUGAACGGGUGAGUAACACGUGAGUAGCCUGCCCUUGACUUUGGGAUAACUUCAGGAAACUGGGGCUAAUACCGGAUAGGAGCUCCUGCUGCAUGGUGGGGGUUGGAAAGUUUCGGCGGUUGGGGAUGGACUCGCGGCUUAUCAGCUUGUUGGUGGGGUAGUUGCUUACCAAGGCUUUGACGGGUAGCCGGCCUGAGAGGGUGACCGGCCACAUUGGGACUGAGAUACGGCCCAGACUCGUACGGGAGGCAGCAGUGGGGAAUAUUGCACAAUGGGCGGAAGCCUGAUGCAGCAACGCCGCGUGCGGGAUGACGGCCUUCGGGUUGUAAACCGCUUUCGCCUGUGACGAAGCGUGAGUGACGGUAAUGGGUAAAGAAGCACCGGCUAACUACGUG
rnacentral:rRNA from 1 species